rnacentral:rRNA from 2 species
CCGCCUGGGGAGUACGGUCGCAAGAUUAAAACUCAAAGGAAUUGACGGGGACCCGCACAAGCGGUGGAUGAUGUGGAUUAAUUCGAUGCAACGCGAAAAACCUUACCUACCCUUGACAUGUACGGAACCCUGCUGAGAGGUGGGGGUGCCCGAAAGGGAGCCGUAACACAGGUGCUGCAUGGCUGUCGUCAGCUCGUGUCGUGAGAUGUUGGGUUAAGUCCCGCAACGAGCGCAACCCUUGUCCCUAGUUGCUACGCA